ensembl:snRNA U6 U6 spliceosomal RNA
GUGCUUGCUUUGGCAGCACAUAUACUAAAAUUAGAAUGAUACAGAGAUUAACAUGGCCCCUGCACAAGGAUUACAUGCAAAUUUGUGAAGCAUUCCAUAUUUUU